GCCUUCUUCUGGAAAUAUCUCCUUGAUGAAGCCUUUCCCUGUAAACCUAGACUCUCCAGAUGUAGGUCAAGCUUUUAUCUCACCUCAUCCUGCCACUGAAAGGAUCAUUUACCCGAGUGGAGGGUUCUGCUAUUCAUCAGCAAGCACUGGGAGAUGCAAACUGCACCUCUGUAUUCUCCCAAUGAAGACAGACGUUGCUUCCGGGGAUCACGUUUUCUUUUUCUGCUCUAGAUCCAAAAGGAGUUCCCUGUUCAGCCUGGAAGGCUGCUACACCAAAGCCUGAAUGAUCUCAAAUGAUGGGAACAGAACUAAGAACUGUUUCAGGCUGCAGAAACACAAGGAGCAGUGAUGUCUGAAGUGCUGGGCUGGCUUGAAAUAGCAAGGCUGUGAGAUGCAUUUAUUUCAGAAACUGAGGCUUUUCAAAUGGUGGCCUGUUGGUAGGGAAAAUAAUUCUUCUAUUAGAAUUCAUCAGACUUGUUUUUAGUUGCUUCCAAUUCUGAUGAAGAGCAAUGUGAAAACAGGGAUAUUUUAGACUCACAGAUCAGUCCUAAAGCAUUUUCAGUGCUUGGAAACCCAGCUGCCCUUCUGUUGCACCCUGUACCUAUGCACAGAAAUGAUGUUUCCUUUCUGAGGUGGAGUUGCCUGUCUCAAAUACCUCAACAGUAUCUCAAAUAGUGCCUGGAUGUGCUGCUUUGAAAUUAGUUCCUUAAUCAUUAUGCUGCUGUGAAGACCCAGCCUUGGGCACAACUAAAAACCCACUCCUAAAUAUUUGUCUGCUCCCACGCUCUUAAUUACCUGUCAAAUUUUAGCCUUACCAUAUUACCUCUUCAAUCUCUAGUCUCCAGAGAGUGGAUCUAUGGUAAACUGCAUCAAUUCAGUGAAUUUUUAAACAUAUUUUAAGCACAUUCUUCAGUUAAUAAUCUUUGCAAUAUAAAGUGGAAUACAGGCAUACUUCUUUUAUAUUAGUUAACAGACUAAACUAUUCUCUCAGAUGUCUGGAGGAGAUACAAGUGUCCCCUCCUUGUCUUAAAUUAUUAGUAUGAUAGAGAUUUGCUUUUCCACAAAUCCUUUAAUGACUUUCUUUUUAGAAAAAAUCAUCAUGUUCAACAUAGACUCUCAUAGAAUUACGGAAUUACUAAGGUUGGAAGAGACAUCUGAGAUCUCAAAGCCCAACUCCAUCCCACCCCACUGUGCCUACUGCCCACAUCCCUCAGUACCACAUCUCCAUGGCUCUGGUGCAUCUCCAGGGAUGGUGAACCCACCACUCCUGGGCAAAAAGUCUGACAUAGGGCAUGACAGCACUGAAUAUGUGCUGCAAUGAGGAGUCCAGUCUGUUUGGUUAGCAUCACCCUUCUUUUUAUAAUAAGAUCUCAUGGAUUUAGGAGGGUAAGUCAGUCUAUCACUGGUAGAUUUUGACAGAGUGAAAACUUAGGAUAAAAAGCUGAGGGCAGAGUUCACCCUGCAGAUUCUCACCAGCACCAGGCACUGCUGGAACUGUUAUUUAUGGCCUUUUUCUGUGAUAACUGAAAGCCAGGAUUUUCACUAUGGAUGUUUCUGAGAAACUGAAAAGAAGAGGAAAGGGAACAAAAUCCUCUGAAAUGCUUUAUGAAGGGUCAAAGAAGAGUGUCUAAAAGAAAAGCAACCAGUAAAGAGUGCUUUAAGUGCUUCUGAGAGCUUCACAGGAGAGUGCCCCACUGAUUAAAAUGCAAGGCGAAUUUUUGGAGCUGGAUCUGAAGAAGCCCACUCUGCAGUGCAUGCUUUGACCUCACUUCAAUAAGGAUUAGCAGAGGUUUUUUGGAAUUGUUCUGCCAAGCCAUUAAAAUCUACAAAUCUUCCUAAGUACAGCAAAAUUAGCCCCAAAACAGCUUCUGGCAAUAUUCACAGAUGAGGGCAUGCUGCAGCUUCUGGAUAGACCGACCAUUCCUGGAGCUUGGAGGAUGGGCUUGAAAACACAUUUCAAUAUCAGCCUCAACUUUUGCCCGUCAGACUUUCAGACUCCCUCUCACGACUUGCCUUUUCUUCCACCUCCACAGAUCCUUCUCUUCUCAAUUCCUUGCCCACUUUUGCCUUCACCAUCACAGCCCCUUCCCACCUGAAUGGUAAUUUCCCUCUCAUGUCAGCUCACCCCUGGUCUUUUUUUAGAGCUGCAAAAAAAGAAGGAGUAGAACAACACCAAUUAGGCCCACAGAUUCUUCAAGGAUUAUCAUUCAGCGUGGGGAAAAAAAGCUUCUAAUUAAACAUUUGUAUGCAAUUUCCCUCCUAUUGUAAUAUUUCCUCAGAACUUUCCCAGCUUAAAAUAAACUAUCUGUCUGGUGACUAAUAGUGAGAGGGAGAGAUUCAGCUUCAGUUUGCCUCGCUUUGUUUUCAGGAUUAGCUCUCUAGAAAAUAUUGCUGUAUUCCAACUUUCAUUAUGAAACGUGGAUGUACAGAGAAAGUUCACACCUCACUUUAUCUGCUAUAAUGGAGGAGGGGGUAGCAUCUGUUGAAUGCUGGAUCUGAAGUAGCUUAAGUAUGGUAAAAUAAUUCAUGAGCCAAUGUGAACAAAUAAAUAUAUAACUUGUAAUAAAUACCAUGUAAAGAAAGACGUUGAAAUGCUUGGGAUAAGAAGAACUGGGGCAAAGAAGCUCAGUGCUAAGUUGUGAGGGAUGUUUUUUUGCUCUCAGCUCAAGAUAGUCAAUGCUCAAGGGAAACACAGCAUAAACUUAGACCAGCUCAAUCUAUUAUA